CGCGUAGGCGGUUUUCCAAGUCGGGCGUGAAAGCCCCGGGCUCAACCCGGGAAAUGCGCUCGAAACUUGAAGACUGGAGGCCGGAAGAGGGUAGUGGAAUUCCCAGUGUAGAGGUGAAAUUCGUAGAUAUUGGGAAGAACACCAGUGGCGAAGGCGGCUACCUGGUCCGGAUCUGACGCUGAGGCGCGAAAGCGUGGGGAGCAAACAGGAUUAGAUACCCUGGUAGUCCACGCCGUAAACGAUGAGUGCUUGAUGUUGGGGGGCCUAGCUCCUCAGUGUCGUAGCUAACGUGAUAAGCACUCCGCCUGGGGAGUACGGCCGCAAGGUUAAA
rnacentral:rRNA from 1 species